AGGUCGUUCUAUGGACAGUUUCUCAGCAAACCUUUGUACCUCUCCCAUGCUUCAUAAAGUAACUCGCCUCUUUGUUGUCCGAAAUUUGAAAUUGCUUUUAGUAAUUU